UAUAUAUAUAGUGUGUGUGUGUCUUUGUGUGAAUGUAUAUGUGAUCACAUGGUCACUGAACGUUCAGCAUCAGCAUUUUGUAUAAAUAUACACUGCUGUUUUGGUAAUGCAAAACUAGCAUUGAGGUACCACAUUCUAUAAUAAUGAUGAUAUCUGAGCACGUUGUAGCAAGGCUGAGGUAGGGUGAAGCACGAGUUUUAGCACCAGUAACUCGUCAUUGUCAACGAGUCGUGGUACUCUGUGUGAUGAAGCACGAGUUUUAGCACCAGUAACUCGUCAUUGUCAACGAGUCGUGGUACUCUGUGUGAUGAAGCACGAGUUUUAGCACCAGUAACUCGUCAUUGUCAACGAGUCGUGGUACUCUGUGUGAUGAAGCACGAGUUUUAGCACCAGUAACUCGUCAUUGUCAACGAGUCGUGGUACUCUGUGUGAUGAAGCACGAGUUUUAGCACCAGUAACUCGUCAUUGUCAACGAGUCGUGGUACUCUGUGUGAUGAAGCACAAGUUUCAGCACCAGUAACUCUUCAAGGCUUGCUAAUCGUCGAUAAUCCUGCUCGUUCUUCAAAAGUUUGCUUAUUUGUUUGUUACCUCAUGUUUACUAGGCUAACUUAAGCCUCAGAAUUGUGUGUGUGUGUGUUUAUCAUAAUUUAUGAUAUGUCCUUUAGCUCCUUAGGUAAGGCCAAAGGGUAAGGAUAUGGGAGCAGUAUUUAUCUGCCGGGUUCUAUUAUAACUCCCAGGGUCCGUAAUACCAAGGGAGGUCUUUAGAAUGUAAGAUGGGACUAAAGUCCCCAACAGCUGCACAAAUCUGUAUGUCAGAAUUUAUGUGAUUUCUUGUUGCCAUUGUGACAUGACAUUUAAUUAAUGCAAUAACCCUCGUGUGUCAUGAUGACAAUGCUAAUAACAUUAACUUAGUCAUAUAGAUUUUAUCACUAUCUAGAAAUUUCGACCCAGUUUGCCUGUGUCUGAUAUGGACAAACGUUUAUAGGUUAAUUCUAGGCCAUUUUGAUGUUGCUUUCCUAUUCGUGUCCGUCCCAAACAGUACCAUACAAAUUUUGACUAGGAAAUAUGCAUUGCAGUUAAGAUGUUCCAAGCUAUAAGUCUACAGUCAGUACCUGUAGAGGAUAUUGUGUAGAAUACCAAUAUGUGAAGAGUAACCCUAACCUCUUAUUACCUUAAGUUUUUAUGUACAUCAUGUAUGACCGAGAAUUGCUUUAUAUUAAAAUAAAUAUUCGUGAAGGACUCUCUCUCUCUGGAAAGUGUGGGACGUUAUCUCAGCAGUGCAUUUCUUCGUUAAGAAAAUAAUAAACAGUGAGUUUUACAUUCGUACUCGCACUUCCAUUGUUAGUUUCAGGCAUUUAUUCAAGCUCAGGAAUUGUGGAAUGCGGUUUCAGAUGUUUAUGCGACACACUAAUAAUGUGUUCAUUAUGAUUAGCAUUAUUGCAUGUAUUAAUACUAUUGUCAAUUAUGAUUAUUAGUUUCAUUUUAUUAUGGCAUUAAUAUUAUUAUUAUUAUUAUCAUUAUUACUAUUGAAAAAAUCAACUGGAGCUCUGAGGUGACUCGAACCCGCGACUCAAAGAAUCCUAGUCGCUGACGCUUAAAAUUCAAAGAACCUGAUUUCCACUGAAAUUAAAUAAGUGUGAUUUCUGUGUGUAUCUGAUGUUGGAACGAACAGUGGAUAACCUAUGUUGCCUAUCCCUUCCCCCCCCGAGAACUUGUGGGGGUCAUACUUAAAACUUGGACUGGCUUCAGCACGGGCCUCCAGACUUCCUGUAAACUCAGGUGAAAUCCAGUAGAAAGGACUGCCACGUCAGGGUGGUGUAAUGGUUAUUUAUCGUCAUCGCCUGGGAGUCUCUGGUUGUGGGUUCGAGUCUCCUCAGAGCUCCAGUUGAUUAUCUCAUUAAUAUAUAUCAACGUUAGUGUGAUUUAUCCAGAAAUUAUUAUUACUAAUCAUUAUUGGCGUGCAGGAAGGACAAAGAUUUUUUUUAAUAAAAAGAGAUGCAUUUCGGCAGAAUAAUAAAUGGCAUCAAUACAUAUUACGAUUAGUGAAAGUGAUAACGCACAAAUAUAUCAAGUAUUACAAGCACAACAUUUACUAACUCAGCUGUAUCCGUCACCAGGACUCUCUACUACUUUAAAAUAAACGCAGAAAUUAGGAAAUACGGAAUAUGCUAAUGAUAAUAUAGUAUAUUAUUUGGCCACUUGUGCGGGGUUUUUUUAUUAGCAAAGGAAUUAUAUCACAGUAAUGAUUUAAGCGUUUGUGUAGUGAUGGUUAAUUAAGUUGAUGGUGUCUGGUGUAGUUAAGGCUGGUUACUGAUGUAUAAAGUCUGGUUACUGAUGUAUUAGAUCAGGUUACUGAUGUAUAAAGUCUGGUUACUGAUGUAUUAGAUCAGGUUACUGAUGUAUAAAGUCUGGUUACUGAUGUAUAAGGUCUGGUUACUGAUGUAUUUGAUCAGGUUACUGAUGUAUUAGGUCUGGUUACUGAUGUAUUUGAUCAGAUUACUGAUGUAUUAGGUCUGGUUACUGAUGUAUUUGAUCAGGUUACUGAUGUAUUAGGUCUGGUUACUGAUGUAUUAGGUCUGGUUACUGAUGUAUUUGAUCAGGUUACUGAUGUAUUAGGUCUGGUUACUGAUGUAUUAGGUCUGGUUACUGAUGUAUUUGAUCAGGUUACUGAUGUAUUAGGUCUGGUUACUGAUGUAUUAGGUCUGGUUACUGAUGUAUUAGGUCUGGUUACUGAUGUAUUAGGUCUGGUUACUGAUGUAUUUGAUCAGGUUACUGAUGUAUAAGGUCUGGUUACUGAUGUAUUAGGUCUGGUUACUGAUGUAUUUGAUCAGGUUACUGAUGUAUAAGGUCUGGUUACUGAUGUAUUAGGUCUGGUUACUGAUGUAUUAGGUCUGGUUACUGAUGUAUUAGGUCUGGUUACUGAUGUAUUAGGUCUGGUUACUGAUGUAUUAGGUUUGGUUACUGAUGUAUUAGGUCUGGUUACUGAUGUAUUUGAUCAGGUUACUGAUGUAUUUGAUCAUGUUACUGAUGUAUAAGGUCUGGUUACUGAUGUAUUUGAUCAGGUUACUGAUGUAUAAGGUCUGGUUACUGAUGUAUUAGGUCUGGUUAUUGAUGUAUUAGGUCUGGUUACUGAUGUAUUUGAUCAUGUUACUGAUGUAUUAGGUCUGGUUACUGAUGUAUUAGGUCUGGUUACUGAUGUAUUAGGUCUGGUUACUGAUGUAUUUGAUCAGGUUACUGAUGUAUAAGGUCUGGUUACUGAUGUAUUAGGUCUGGUUAUUGAUGUAUUAGGUCUGGUUACUGAUGUAUUUGAUCAUGUUACUGAUGUAUUAGGUCUGGUUACUGAUGUAUUAGGUCUGGUUACUGAUGUAUUUGAUCAGGUUACUAAUGUAUAAGGUCUGGUUACUGAUGUAUUUGAUCAGGUUACUGAUGUAUUUGAUCAUGUUACUGAUGUAUUAGGUCUGGUUACUGAUGUAUUAGGUCUGGUUACUGAUGUAUUUGAUCAUGUUACUGAUGUAUUAGGUCUGGUUACUGAUGUAUUUGAUCAUGUUACUGAUGUAUUAGGUCUGGUUACUGAUGUAUUUGAUCAGGUUACUGAUGUAUAAGGUCUGGUUACUGAUGUAUUAGGUCUGGUUACUGAUGUAUUUGAUCAGGUUACUGAUGUAUUAGGUCUGGUUACUGAUGUAUUAGGUUUGGUUACUGAUGUAUUAGGUCUGGUUACUGAUGUAUUUGAUCAGGUUACUGAUGUAUAAGGUCUGGUUACUGAUGUAUUAGGUCUGGUUACUGAUGUAUUAGGUCUGGUUACUGAUGUAUUUGAUCAGGUUACUGAUGUAUAAGGUCUGGUUACUGAUGUAUAAGGUCUGGUUACACUAUUUAAUACUUACAUUUCAGUAUAAUUUUGCAGUCUCGAUGUCAAAACCAUUAAUGUUGAAUGUUAUAUAUAUAUAUAU